UCCUCGUCACCUGCAGCGCCCUGCAGGGAAAAGGUCAAAGGAUAAAGAUCUUUCCACAAUUGCAGUGCUCUUUAAAUUAAGUGUUUUAGGAGCAGUAGGGACUGAGGAGCGACAGAAUGGGAAGCAGAGGCACAGCCUGCUGGAAAUAAAGUAUAUUACCGAAUAUA